UCACAGGAAACAGCUAUGACCAUGAUUACGCCAAGCUUGGUACCGAGCUCGGAUCCACUAGUAACGGCCGCCAGUGUGCUGGAAUUCGGCUUCCUACGGGAGGCAGCAGUGGGGAAUUUUCCGCAAUGGGCGAAAGCCUGACGGAGCAAUACCGCGUGCGGGAGGAAGGCCCUUGGGUCGUAAACCGCUUUUCUUAGGGAAGAAACCUGACGGUACCUAAGGAAUAAGCCUCGGCUAACUCCGUGCCAGCAGCCGCGGUAAUAAGCCGAAUUCUGCAGAUAUCCAUCACACUGGCGGCCGCUCGAGCAUGCAUCUAGAGGGCCCAAUUCGCCCUAUAGUGAGUCGUAUUACAAUUCACUGGCCGUCGUUUUACAACGUCA
rnacentral:rRNA from 1 species